UACGGAGGGCGCGAGCGUUACCCGGAUUUACUGGGCGUAAAGGGCGUGUAGGCGGUCUGGGGCGUCCCAUGUGAAAGACCACGGCUCAACCGUGGGGGAGCGUGGGAUACGCUCAGGCUAGACGGCGGGAGAGGGUGGUGGAAUUCCCGGAGUAGCGGUGAAAUGCGCAGAUACCGGGAGGAACGCCGAUGGCGAAGGCAGCCACCUGGCUCGUUCGUGACGCUGAGGCGCGAAAGCGUGGGGAGCAAACCGG
rnacentral:rRNA from 1 species